rnacentral:lncRNA from 1 species
CAACACCUAGCUCAGCUGGCAGGGAGCUACUAGGAGCAGCGUGCUGGCCUGAGUUCGAAUCUGUUUGAGCGCAGGUUUUCUCACCAUUUUCUUCUCUAUCAAUACUAGAUGCUAAGUUCCUCCUUAGUAUUCCAAACAUAUAGAAACGUCUCCAAACAUAUAGAAACCUCCUUAGUAUUCCAAACAUAUAGAAACGUCCCGCCCUUACCAAAAGGGCGGAUAAUCAUGUUCCGGCAAAUAUUCUCAAUUUCUAUUUCUGAAGUUCUGAAGGAGAUGAACAGGGGGGGAAACCAACCAGUUGAUGGUGUAAGUGGCGAAUCUACAGUCAUACCACCCUGGGCUCAUCAGGCGGAUGCGCAAUAGAAUUUGAUUUUUUAUGAAUUGAAAACAAAAAUUUUAUAGCAAACUUUUAUAUAAUAAUAUUUAUUAAGGCUUUUCUGGAUCCGACAGUAGAUGAUGUUCGUGGGAUAGUCAUGUGGGUGUACUUUGGCAGGAGCUUCUAAACUAAUUAAUUAGAACAUGCAGCUAUUUAGGAGUGCCGGGAGAUGCUACACAUUUUACACUUCUGGUAAUUUGACAUACUAGCAUAUUGCCCAUGCGCUGCAACAG